rnacentral:rRNA from 1 species
UACUCGAGUGGCGAACGGGUGAGUAACACGUGGGUGAUCUGCCCUGCACUUCGGGAUAAGCUUGGGAAACUGGGUCUAAUACCGGAUAGGACCGCACUUUAGUGUGUGUGGUGGAAAGUUUUUUCGGUGUAGGAUGAGCUCGCGGCCUAUCAGCUUGUUGGUGGGGUAAUGGCCUACCAAGGCGGCGACGGGUAGCCGGCCUGAGAGGGUGUACGGCCACAUUGGGACUGAGAUACGGCCAAG